rnacentral:tRNA from 1 species
GUAAAUAUAGUUUAAAAAAACCGUCAGACUGUGAAUCUGAAGAUAGGACAUAAUCAUCCUUAUUUACC